rnacentral:other from 1 species
AAAGGGCUGGGGGGUACGACGGCUUUGAUCUCUGAGGCCAAUGAUUCCUUCGCGGGAGCUGUUCCUGAAAAAGUUUGAGGAUUUUUUCACACGGUGCCCACCUGCUGAGUGCAGGCCCCAGGAGGAUCGCAAAGUCCGCAACGGCCCUUCGGCACGAUA